rnacentral:rRNA from 1 species
UAAUACGGAGGAUGCAAGCGUUAUCCGGAUUUAUUGGGUUUAAAGGGUACGUAGGCGGAAAAUUAAGUCAGUGGUGAAAUCCUGCAGCUUAACUGUAGAACUGUCAUUGAUACUGGUUUUCUUGAAUAUAGUUGAGGUAGGCGGAAUGUGUAAUGUAGCGGUGAAAUGCUUAGAUAUUACACAGAACACCGAUUGCGAAGGCAGCUUACUAAGCUAUGAUUGACGCUGAGGUACGAAAGCGUGGGGAGCGAACAGGAUUAGAUACCCUGGUAGUCCACGCUGUAAACGAUGAUCACUCGUUGUUGGCAAUACAUCGUCAGCGACUUAGCGAAAGCAUUAAGUGAUCCACCUGGGGAGUACGAUCGCAAGAUUG